GUCCACGCCAUAAACGAUGAGAACUAGACGUUGAGAGGGUAAGCCUCCCAGUGUCGAAGCUAACGCGAUAAGUUCUCCGCCUGGGGAGUACGGCCGCAAGGUUGAAACUCAAAGGAAUUGACGGGGACCCCGGCACAAGCGGUGGAGCAUGUGGUUUAAUUCGAUGCAACGCGAAGAACCUUACCUGGCCUUGACAUCCUCGGAACCCUGCAGAGAUGCGGGGGUGGCCUUCGGAACCGGAGAGACAGGUGCUGCAUGGCUGUCGU
rnacentral:rRNA from 1 species